rnacentral:rRNA from 1 species
GGUACGGGCAGACUAGAGUGCGGUAGGGGAGAUUGGAAUUCCUGGUGUAGCGGUGGAAUGCGCAGAUAUCAGGAGGAACACCGAUGGCGAAGGCAGAUCUCUGGGCCGUUACUGACGCUGAGGAGCGAAAGCAUGGGGAGCAAACAGGCUUAGAUACCCUGGUAGUCCAUGCCGUAAACGUUGGGAACUAGAUGUGGGGACCAUUCCACGGUCUCCGUGUCGUAGCUAACGCAUUAAGUUCCCCGCCUGGGGAGUACGGCCGCAAGGCUAAAACUCAAAGGAAUUGACGGGGGCCCGCACAAGCGGCGGAGCAUGCGGAUUAAUUCGAUGCAACGCGAAGAACCUUACCAAGGCUUGACAUAUACGAGAACGCGCUGGAGACAGCGAACUCUUUGGACACUCGUAUACAGGUGGUGCAUGGUUGUCGUCAGCUCGUGUCGUGAGAUGUUGGGUUAAGUCCCGCAACGAGCGCAACCCUCGUCCUAUGUUGCCAGCACGUAAUGGUGGGAACUCAUGGGAUACUGCCGGGGUCAACUCGGAGGAAGGUGGGGAUGAGGUCAAAUCAUCAUGCCCCUUAUGUCUUGGGCUUCACGCAUGCUACAAUGGCCGGUACAAUGGGCUGCGAUACCGCAAGGUGGAGCGAAUCCCAAAAAGCCGGUCUCAGUUCGGAUUGGGGUCUGCAACUCGACCCCAUGAAGUCGGAGUCGCUAGUAAUCGUAGAUCAGCAACGCUACGGUGAAUACGUUCCCGGGCCUUGUACACACCGCCCGUCAAGUCAUGAAAGUCGGUAACACCCGAAG